rnacentral:rRNA from 1 species
AGAAUCAACGCUGGCGGCGUGCCUAACACAUGCAAGUCGAACGAGAAAGGGGAGCAAUCCCUGAGUAAAGUGGCGACCGGGUGAGUAACACGUGACUAACCUACCCUCGAGUGUGGAAUAACAUCGGGAAACCGAUGCUAAUACCGCAUAACAUCGGCGCUUUUAAGAGAUGCCGAUCAAAGGAGCAAUCCGCUUGAGGAGGGGGUCGCGGCUGAUUAGCUAGUUGGCGGGGUAACGGCCCACCAAGGCGAAGAUCGGUAGCCGGCCUGAGAGGGCGCACGGCCACACUGGAACUGAAACACGGUCCAGACUCCUACGGGAGGCAGCAGUGGGGAAUUUUGCGCAAUGGGGAAACCCUGACGCAGCAACGCCGCGUGGAGGAUGAAGCCCCUUGGGCGUAAACUCCUUUCGACCAAGACGAUAAUGACGGUACUGGUGGAAGAAGCACCGGCUAACUCUGUGCCAGCAGCCGC